CUAGGAGAGUCUGGCUGAAAGACAUUUCUAGACCCACUGGCUUCCUUAAGGAUCUCCAGAUGUUUGUACCCUCUCAGACCGCCACGUGGACCCCCAGGGCUCCUUUCUCAGGAGUGGAUCUUGGAGUUAGGGGAGUGCAGAGAAAAUGUGGUGGUGUUUUCACCACAUCCAUUCAACGCCUCCUCCCCUCUGGCGGCUCAGCAGUAAAGAAUCUGCCUGCUAAUGCAAGAGACACAAGAGAUGCGGGUUCGAUCCCUGGGUCGGGAAGAUCCCCUGGAGAACAAAAUGUCAACCCACUCCAGUAAUCUUGCCUGGGAGAUCCCGUGGACAGAGAGCCUGGCAGUCCACGGGGUGGCAAAGAGUUGGACACGACUGAGCGGCUAACACACAGCUCUGCUUUGGAAAUGCAACAUGUGGCUGUCUUCCCGCCGUGUGGUUUUCAAGGGCGGGUGGCUGUUUUCCUGCAGACCCUUGGCCCCGCCCUCCCGGGCCGUCCCACCUGGGGCCUCUCUCUGGGACAGCUGAAGCGUGGGGUUUGUGGGAGCCUCACCAGGGAUGCGAUCCUGCCUGGCAGCCGCUGACCUGCGCUUCCCCCAGCCCUGAGGGCAAGGGCCCAGGUUUCCAAGAACAUGCAGCAGCUGGGACCAGUCCUCUCUUCCGCGGUGCGUGCGUGCCCCUCAUUCUCCCUGGCUCCAAGCUUCCUCCUUCGUUCCUCUGUGGGGAGGGCACUGCAGUGGGUUUGCCUGUGUAUCACCGGCUGCUCGAGCUCUGCAUAAGGAGCCACGCGUCUGUCAGGAUAACGGCACAAUCGGAUCACCUGGAGAGCCGUAAAAACAGCGAUGCCUGGGCCGAACCCAGACAGAGGGGCUCGGAAUCGCAGAGGGUGGAGCCGGGCCUCGGAGAUUCCGACAGCUCCGCUGGUCUGGUUUGCAGGCAAGGUUGAGAUCUUCUUAGCUCCACGGCUGAAACUGGAGACCCAGCCUUUCUUCGGCAAAAACUAAUUUAGAAAGCUCAGUUCCAGUCUUGUGUCACAUUACAUCAGUUCACAUUCUGUAAGGAGGUGGAGCUGCCCGCCACCCUCUCGAGUUCAGUAUUUUAAAAAGAUUCCACGUACAAGUGAGAUUAUUCAGCAUUUGUCCUUCUUUGUGUGAUUUAUCUCAGCAUAAGGCCCUCAGAGGUUCAUCCCUGUUGUCACAAAUGACAGGAUUUCCUUUUUUUCUUUCUUUAUUUUGGCCAUACCACAUGGCUGGCAGGAUCUCCAACCAGGAAUUGAAGCCAGGCCCCAGGAGUGAAAGGGCUGAACCCUAAGCACUGGACUACCAGAGAAUUCCCACGGAUGCCCUUCUUUUUUAUGGCUAAACAAUAUUCCACGGCACAUCACAUCUAUAUGUGUGUGUGUGUGUAUUCCACAUUUUAAUCCACUCGUCUGCUGAUGAGCACAGGCUGUCUGCAUGUGUUAUGAAUCAUGUUGAGUGAGCAUGAGGGUGCAGAUAUCUUCUCAAGGUGAUGAUUUUGUUUCUGUUGGACAAAUACCCAGAAGUGGAAUUGCUGGGUCAUAGAGUGGCCCUAUUUUUAAU
ensembl:lncRNA